CGUCAUUAUUUGGUUAAUUUUAUAUCGAUCGAAUAGUUUUCAGUAGAGGUGAAGAUGAAUCUCAUCAUGUUUGGUGCUUUUUGUCUGGUAGCCGUAUUUGUUAAAUAUUACCUUACAAAUGAAUCACCCAUGGCUUCCUUGAAGCGGAGUUUAAUUGACAUUUUGCAGAAAUUCUAACGACCAUGGAUAA